rnacentral:rRNA from 1 species
GACGAACGCUGGCGGCGUGCUUAACACAUGCAAGUCGAACGGAAAGGCCCCUUUGGGGGUACUCGAGUGGCGAACGGGUGAGUAACACGUGAGUAACCUGCCCUUGACUUCGGGAUAACUUCAGGAAACUGGGGCUAAUACCGGAUAGGAAUCCUUGCUGCAUGGUGGGGGUUGGAAAGCUUCGGCGGUUUUGGAUGGACUCGCGGCUUAUCAGCUUGUUGGUGGGGUAGUGGCUUACCAAGGCUUUGACGGGUAGCCGGCCUGAGAGGGCGACCGGCCACAUUGGGACUGAGAUACGGCCCAGACUCCUACGGGAGGCAGCAGUGGGGAAUAUUGCACAAUGGGCGGAAGCCUGAUGCAGCAACGCCGCGUGCGGGAUGACGGCCUUCGGGUUGUAAACCGCUUUCAGCAGGGGCGAAGCUUGUGGUGACGGUACCUGCAGAAGAAGCACCGGCUAUCUACGUG